UAUUUAUUUUUUAUAACUGCAUUAUAUGUUGAUCCUAUUGUAGCUAAUUGCAGUGUUCAACAGUGUUAACAUGAAUAAUAUAUUGCAAAACAUUGCAUCUUAUUAAUCUAGGCGAAAAAUAGUAUUCAACUGUUAGGAUUUGAUGAAAGUAUAUUUAUAAUUUGAUGAUAAUUAUAAUUUGACAUUUUUAAAACAAUUGUAGGAAGACGUCAUAUAUACAUUGUACAAAAUUGUUUUUUCCCUUGUUCAACGAAUUCCUUUGAAGGACAACCAAAUAAGAAGAAAAUAAUGCGGUUUAAUCCACGAAAUGUAAUAAUACUGCUGUCUGCAGUAUUUACUGCCGUGGACUUUCCAGAAAGUCCUAACAAUAGAAGAAGUUAUGCAGAGAAAAAUGAAAAAGAUGAUAAAAGAAAUGUACGAAGACUACUAUGAAAUUGAACAAGAAGAAUCGUUGGAUUUUUUAAACUCAUAUGAUAUACCAGAAGCACAAGAAAUAGAACUUGUAGAUGAA